UACGUAGGGGGCAAGCGUUGUCCGGAUUUAUUGGGCGUAAAGAGCGUGUAGGCGGCUUGGUAGGUCUCGCGUCAAAACCUGAGGCUCAACCUCAGUUCGCGUGGGAAACCACCUAGCUAGAGUCCGGAAGAGGAGAACGGAAUUCCCAGUGUAGCGGUGAAAUGCGCAGAUAUUGGGAAGAACACCAGUGGCGAAGGCGGUUCUCUGGGACGGUACUGACGCUGAGGAGCGAAAGCGUGGGGAGCGAACAGG
rnacentral:rRNA from 1 species